rnacentral:rRNA from 1 species
GACGAAGGAUGCAGGCGUUAUCCGGAUUCAUUGGGUUUAAAGGGAGCGUAGGUGGCCUUAUAAGUCAGUGGUGAAAUCUCUCGGCUUAACUGAGAAAUUGCCAUUGAUACUGUAGGGCUUGAGUACAGUUGCUGUGGGCGGAAUAUGACAUGUAGUGGUGAAAUACAUAGAGAUGUCAUAGAACACCGAUUGCGAAGGCAGCUCACAAAACUGUAACUGACACUGAGGCUCGAAAGUGCGGGGAUCAAACAGG